rnacentral:misc_RNA from 1 species
UCCGGUUUAGACCGGCGGUCUCCCUAGAGAUUUCAACUAAGGACAAGGGUUGCGCUCGUUGCGGGACUUAACCCAACACCUCACGGCACGAGCUGACGACAGCCAUGCAGCAUCUGUGCAUGCUCUCUUGCGAGUCCCUCAGGUUUCCCUUCAGUACCACAUGCAUGUCAAGCCGAGGUAAGGUUCUGCGCGUUGCAUCGAAUUAAUCCACAUGCUCCGCCGCUUGCGCGGGCCCCCGUCAAUUUCUUUGAGUUUUAACCUUGCGGCCGUACUCCCCAGGCGGGAUGCUUAAUGCGUUAGCUGCGCCACCAACGUUUACGGUAUGGACUAC